rnacentral:rRNA from 1 species
UACGAGGGGGGCGAGCGUUGUUCGGAAUUAUUGGGCGUAAAGGGUGCGUAGGCGGUUCCGCAAGUCCUGUGUGAAAUCUUCGGGCUCAACUCGAAGUCUGCACGGGAAACUGCGGGGCUUGAGUGUGGGAGAGGUGAGUGGAAUUCCCGGUGUAGCGGUGAAAUGCGUAGAUAUCGGAAGGAACACCUGUGGCGAAAGCGGCUCACUGGACCAUAACUGACGCUGAGGCGCGAAAGCGUGGGGAGCAAACAGG